ACCUGCCAGUGUCUUAAGUAUAAAGGCAAUCUAUCCCGUGAAACUGCGAAUGGCUCAUUAAAUCAGUUAUCGUUUAUUUGAUAGUACCUUACUACUUGGAUAACCGUGGUAAUUCUAGAGCUAAUACAUGCUAAAAACCCCAACUUCGGGAGGGGUGUAUUUAUUAGAUAAAAAACCAAUGCCCUUCGGGGCUCCUUGGUGAUUCAUGAUAACUUCUCAGAUCGCAUGGCUUUACGCCGGCGACGGUUCAUUCAAAUUUCUGCCCUAUCAACUUUCGAUGGUAAGGUAGUGGCUUACCAUGGUUUCAACGGGUAACGGGGAAUUAGGGUUCGAUUCCGGAGAGGGAGCCUGAGAAACGGCUACCACAUCCAAGGAAGGCAGCAGGCGCGCAAAUUACCCAAUUCCGAUACGGAGAGGUAGUGACAAUAAAUACUGAUACAGGGCUCUUUUGGGUCUUGUAAUUGGAAUGAGUACAAUUUAAACCUCUUAACGAGGAACAAUUGGAGGGCAAGUCUGGUGCCAGCAGCCGCGGUAAUUCCAGCUCCAAUAGCGUAUAUUAAAGUUGUUGCAGUUAAAAAGCUCGUAGUUGAACCUUUGGCCUGGCUGGCAGGUCCGCCUCACCGCGUGCACUUGUCCGGCCGGGCCUUUUCUUCUGGAGAACCGCAUGCCCUUCACUGGGUGUGUUGGGGACCAGGACUUUUACUUUGAAAAAAUUAGAGUGUUCAAAGCAGGCCUUUGCUCGAAUACGUUAGCAUGGAAUAAUAGAAUAGGACGUGCGGUCCUAUUUUGUUGGUUUCUAGGACCGCCGUAAUGAUUAAUAGGGACAGUCGGGGGCAUCAGUAUUCAAUUGUCAGAGGUGAAAUUCUUGGAUUUAUUGAAGACUAACUACUGCGAAAGCAUUUGCCAAGGAUGUUUUCAUUAAUCAGUGAACGAAAGUUAGGGGAUCGAAGACGAUCAGAUACCGUCGUAGUCUUAACCAUAAACUAUGCCGACUAGGGAUCGGGCGGUGUUUCUAUUGUGACCCGCUCGGCACCUUACGAGAAAUCAAAGUGUUUGGGUUCUGGGGGGAGUAUUGCCAAAGG
rnacentral:rRNA from 1 species